rnacentral:misc_RNA from 1 species
GAAUCGUAGGGUUUCUUGCAGGUGCGAGUUUGAGCUAUGCUGCCGGGGUCCAGGCAUUGAUUUCCACCAGUAAACAGAACAAAGACGAGCUCUUAACUGCAACUGAAGCGUUAGAAACUGAUAAACAACUUUAUAAGAAAAUAGAAAAAAAGAUUGAAGAAUUAGAGUCAAGCUGUGUCAAAAAAAGUAGUUGGGAAAUUCAGGAAAGCGAAUGGAAGGCUAUGUUCCAGACAAUGCGUGUUGAAUACUUGGAACUACUGGAAAAACAAAAGACUCUAGGGGAAGUACUAAAUAAGCUUGUUGAAGAUCGGCAAACAAAAUUCCAGUUUUGAUAUGAAGCGCAUCGUCCUUAUACUAUGUAUGAAAUUAUUCGGAACCAUACUCUUAACUAUCUACCUGUCAUUAUAAAAUAUUUCAUUUUUCUGUC